GCGGUAAUACGGAGGAUCCGAGCGUUAUCCGGAUUUAUUGGGUUUAAAGGGUGCGUAGGCGGCCUUUUAAGUCAGCGGUGAAAGUCUGUGGCUCAACCAUAGAAUUGCCGUUGAAACUGGGGGGCUUGAGUAUGUUUGAGGCAGGCGGAAUGCGUGGUGUAGCGGUGAAAUGCUUAGAUAUCACGCAGAACCCCGAUUGCGAAGGCAGCCUGCCAAGCCAUGACUGACGCUGAUGCACGAAAGCGUGGGGAUCAAACAGGAUUAGAUACCCUGGUAGUCCACGCAGUAAACGAUGAUCACUAGCUGUUUGCGAUACAGUGUAAGCGGCACAGCGAAAGCGUUAAGUGAUCCACCUGGGGAGUACGCCGGCAACGGUGAAACUCAAAGGAAUUGACGGGGGCCCGCACAAGCGGAGGAACAUGUGGUUUAAUUCGAUGAUACGCGAGGAACCUUACCCGGGCUUAAAUUGCAGAUGAAUUACGGUGAAAGCCGUAAGCCGCAAGGCAUCUGUGAAGGUGCUGCAUGGUUGUCGUCAGCUCGUGCCGUGAGGUGUCGGCUUAAGUGCCAUAACGAGCGCAACCCUUGCCACUAGUUACUAACAGGUGAUGCUGAGGACUCUGGUGGGACUGCCAGCGUAAGCUGCGAGGAAGGCGGGGAUGACGUCAAAUCAGCACGGCCCUUACAUCCGGGGCGACACACGUGUUACAAUGGCGUGGACAAAGGGAGGCCACCUGGCGACAGGGAGCGAAUCCCCAAACCACGUCUCAGUUCGGAUCGGAGUCUGCAACCCGACUCCGUGAAGCUGGAUUCGCUAGUAAUCGCGCAUCAGCCAUGGCGCGGUGAAUACGUUCCCGGGCCUUGUACACACCGCCCGUCAAGCCAUGGGAGCCGGGGGUACCUGAAGUGCGUAACCGCGAGGAGCGCCCUAGGGUAAAACUGGUGACUGGGGCUAAGUCGUAACAAGGUAGCCGUACCGGAAGGUGCGGCUG
rnacentral:rRNA from 1 species